rnacentral:rRNA from 1 species
UACGUAGGAGACGAGCGUUGUCCGGAUUUACUGGGCGUAAAGGGUGCGCAGGCGGCCCUGCGCGUCGCGAGUGAAAUCCCCGGGCUCAACCUGGGAAUUGCGUUGGAGACUGCAAGGCUAGAAUCUGGCAGAGGGGGGUAGAAUUCCACGUGUAGCAGUGAAAUGCGUAGAGAUGUGGAGGAACACCGAUGGCGAAGGCAGCCCCCUGGGUCAAGAUUGACGCUCAUGCACGAAAGCGUGGGGAGCAAACAGG